rfam:Nocardioides sp. PD653 DNA, contig: 49.
GCCCCAGUAGCUCAGUGGAUAGAGCAGCCGCCUCCUAAGCGAAAGGUCGUAGGUUCGACUCCUACCUGGGGCA